CCUACGGGAGGCAGCAGUGAGGAAUAUUGGUCAAUGGACGAGAGUCUGAACCAGCCAAGUAGCGUGAAGGAUGACUGCCCUAUGGGUUGUAAACUUCUUUUAUAAAGGAAUAAAACGAGGCACGUGUGCCUUUUUGCAUGUACUUUAUGAAUAAGGAUCGGCUAACUCCGUGCCAGCAGCCGCGGUAAUACGGAGGAUCCGAGCGUUAUCCGGAUUUCUUGGGUUUAAAGGUAGUGUAGAUGGGUUUUUAAGUCAGUUGUGAAAGUUUGCGGCUCAACCGUAAAAUUGCAAUUGAUACUGGCAGUCUUGAGUACAGUUGAGGUAGGCGGAAUUCGUGGUGUAGCGGUGAAAUGCUUAGAUAUCACGAAGAACCCCGAUUGCGAAGGCAGCUUACUAAACUGUGACUGACAUUGAUGCUCGAAAGUGUGGGUAUCAAACAGGAUUAGAUACCCCUGUAGUC
rnacentral:rRNA from 1 species